rnacentral:lncRNA from 1 species
ACACACGCUGAGCAAACAAAGAAGAGGGUGAACACACACCAAACAAAACAAAAGGGUGAAAAAGAAAAAGGGUGAACAACAGAGACUCAAAAAAAAAGGGUGAACACACAUACGAAAACGACAUAGCAAAAAAGAAAAAGGGUGCCCGGAGAGAUUACUCGCAACCUCCUGCCUACAUAUCUCAUCUGGUAUGAGAAUCAGGGCGACGUAGUUCCCCUUAACAGGGGAAAGGAUGAACACGCGCAAAAACAAAUAAAAGGGGGGAACCCCCAAGACACAGAAAAA